AGCCAGCACAGACUGGCGUGCCCCAGCCGUCCCUGGGCGAGCAUCUCUUUGAGGGGCUCACUCUCAAGCAUAAUUGGGAGG
rnacentral:pre_miRNA from 1 species